UACGGGGGGGGCAAGCGUUGUUCGGAAUUACUGGGCGUAAAGGGCUCGUAGGUGGCCAACUAAGUCAGGGGUGAAAUCCUGGAGCUCAACUCCAGAACUGCCCUUGAUACUGAGGAGCUCGAGUCCGGAAGAGGUGAGUGGAACUCCGAGUGUAGAGGUGAAACUCGUAGAUAUUCGGAAGAACACCAGUGGCGAAGGCGGCUCACUGGUCCGGUACUGACGCUGAGGUGCGAAAGCGUGGGGAGCAAACAGG
rnacentral:rRNA from 1 species